rnacentral:rRNA from 1 species
GAUGAACGCUGGCGGCGUGCUUAACACAUGCAAGUCGAACGAUGAAGCCCAGCUUGCUGGGUGGAUUAGUGGCGAACGGGUGAGUAACACGUGAGUAACCUGCACUUGACUCUAGGAUAAGCCCGGGAAACUGGGUCUAAUACUGGAUAGGAACGUCUACCGCAUGGUGGGUGUUGGAAAGAAUUUCGGUCAUGGAUGGACUCGCGGCCUAUCAGCUUGUUGGUGAGGUAAUGGCUCACCAAGGCGACGACGGGUAGCCGGCCUGAGAGGGUGACCGGCCACACUGGGACUGAGACACGGCCCAGACUCCUACGGGAGGCAGCAGUGGGGAAUAUUGCACAAUGGGCGAAAGCCUGAUGCAGCGACGCCGCGUGAGGGAUGACGGCCUUCGGGUUGUAAACCUCUUUCAGUAGGGAAGAAGCGAAAGUGACGGUACCUGCAGAAGAAGCACCGGCUAACUACGUG